rnacentral:misc_RNA from 1 species
CACACGCGCGCAGACCCUCUCCUCGGUCCGUUGUAACACAACUUUCCUCUUCCCUCUUCCUCGCCAUCGGCAGGAGGGGGAGGGCUUCCCUGCUUACUUGUUUCUUUUCUGUCUCCUGUAGUCGAGGCUCAACCUCUUUCGGUGCGAUUCGGCUCCUUUUUCUGUGUGUGUGUGUGUAUCGUUGGUUGGGCGGUGGCUUGUCGACGAUAUGAGGGGACGAGGUCUCCGCUCGCUCGCGGUGACUUAUAUGGAUAUGGGUAGCGUGUGUCUGUGUCUGUGUGUCUGUGGGUGCAUGUGCAUGUGUACCUAGCCUCGUACGUCUCCUCCCCCACCCCCUUCACUCCAACGCCCCUCUCCUCCCUCUGUCUCGCUGUUUCGCGCGUCCGGAACGUUCUGUCCGAUGCAAGUAGAGGACGAGAAAGAGGGAGGAGGGGGCGGUGUGAGGCGAACUGAGGCUCAGUCGCGCAGCCGCUCCUCUUUGCAUGGCACGCAUGGCAAACUUCUCCUCCGUUGUGCGCGGGCCUACAUUAGUGUAUUGAUGCCAAGGGGAAGGGGAGGAAGGACGAGCGUCAGCGCCGCUACCGAAAGGGUCCCCUGCCUCACGCCCUCGCACACAUCAGUUCUCCGCUGUAGCGGCUGCCUGUCACUGACGCUUGCCUCCCUCGCGUUUCCUCUACCAUGCGCGCGAUAUAUGGAAGCGCAGUGCGUGCACACAUCAGCUCCCAUCCGCUGCUGCCCGCCUUCUCUUUCGCAGACCUUACGGUAUUUCUCCUGCGGUACGCCUGUUCCGUCGUGUCUGACGUGCCUAUGCGUCUCCUACCCCAUCAUCCCAUCUUGAUCCCAGCUAUCGUCGACUUUCUGUCUCCUGCUCUCCCUCCCCGGGGUUUCUCCAAACACGCACACGUGGCACUCGCUUAG